rnacentral:rRNA from 1 species
AAGUCGAGCGAACAGAUAAGGAGCUUGCUCCUCUGACGUUAGCGGCGGACGGGUGAGUAACACGUGGAUAACCUACCUAUAAGACUGGGAUAACUUCGGGAAACCGGAGCUAAUACCGGAUAAUAUAUUGAACCGCAUGGUUCAAUAGUGAAAGACGGUUUUGCUGUCACUUAUAGAUGGAUCCGCGCCGUAUUAGCUAGUUGGUAAGGUAACGGCUUACCAAGGCAACGAUACGUAGCCGACCUGAGAGGGUGAUCGGCCACACUGGAACUGAGACACGGUCCAGACUCCUACGGGAGGCAGCAGUAGGGAAUCUUCCGCAAUGGGCGAAAGCCUGACGGAGCAACGCCGCGUGAGUGAUGAAGGUCUUCGGAUCGUAAAACUCUGUUAUUAGGGAAGAACAAAUGUGUAAGUAACUGUGCACGUCUUGACGGUACCUGAUCAGAAAGCCACGGCUAACUACGUGCCAGCAGCCGCGGUAAUACGUAGGUGGCAAGCGUUAUCCGGAAUUAUUGGGCGUAAAGCGCGCGUAGGCGGUUUUUUAAGUCUGAUGUGAAAGCCCACGGCUCAACCGUGGAGGGUCAUUGGAAACUGGAAAACUUGAGUGCAGAAGAGGAAAGUGGAAUUCCAUGUGUAGCGGUGAAAUGCGCAGAGAUAUGGAGGAACACCAGUGGCGAAGGCGACUUUCUGGUCUGUAACUGACGCUGAUGUGCGAAAGCGUGGGGAUCAAACAGGAUUAGAUACCCUGGUAGUCCACGCCGUAAACGAUGAGUGCUAAGUGUUAGGGGGUUUCCGCCCCUUAGUGCUGCAGCUAACGCAUUAAGCACUCCGCCUGGGGAGUACGACCGCAAGGUUGAAACUCAAAGGAAUUGACGGGACCCGCACAAGCGGUGGAGCAUGUGGUUUAAUUCGAAGCAACGC